CCAGACAUAGUCACAUAUCUAAUGAAAUAAACAGGAAAAUGGAGGUAAACAAAAUCAAAUUCAUUAGAUUAAGACAACCCAUAAUAGGUGAUUACAUCAAAGCAAAAGAAAAUAAAAAGAAAAUAAACAAACUGAAUCAACCAAAAAAAAAGAAAGAAAAAUACAUAAAGAAAACCAAAAGUACAAAAACAUAACAUAAUCAAAGUCAAUCACCCAGUCCACCGUCCUGCAUAUGAGUAUCAAAGUCAAUCUCAUCUGUCGGAUCCAACAGAGUGUGCGCCCCGUGCGAAGGCAGAGAUAGGCGUCAACGUCUCUGUGUGGCCCGAAGGAGUAUGUUGCUGCUGAGGUGGUGUCUGGUGCGGUGGCUGCUGCGGUGGCUGCUGCG
rnacentral:lncRNA from 1 species